rnacentral:rRNA from 1 species
GGGCUACACACGUGCUACAAUGGAUAGUACAUAGGGUCGCGAAGCCGCGAGGUGGAGCUAAACCCAUAAAACUAUUCUCAGUUCGGAUUGAAGGCUGCAACUCGCCUACAUGAAUCCGCAAUCGCUAGCAAUCGUCGAUCAGCAUGCCACGGUUAAUACGUUCCCGGCCCUUGCACACAACGCCCGUCACACCACGAGAGUUUGUAACACCCGAAGUCGGAAGGGUAACCUUUAUGGAGCCAGCCGCCGAAGGUGGGACAGCUG